AUUGUGUGUGAUUCCUUGUAAGUUGGCUUUCGAUAAUCUCGGAUUACUGGCCAUCACGGCACCAUUCUACUAGGGGCGGUUUGGGGUCGUGACAAAGGCAGAUGAGAAGGAGAAAGAAAAACCAACAGGAAGGAAAGAGACGAGACAAAUAGCGGAGGAUUGGAUGAAAGAACCAGAGAAGAAGGUUUCUUUUGUCCCAACCCAUGAUCUGAACAAGUUGCAGAUACAAUCUAGUACAUGUUCCUCAACACUGAGGGCAACCCCCGAUCCUAACAAAGAUGAGCCCAAUAAGACAGAUGAGAAGGGGAAAGAAAAACCAAAAGAAUGGGAAGAGAUGAGACAAAAAGCUGAGGUUUUGAUAAGGAAGAAAGACUUCAUCCUACAACUGGUCUUAUCAUACCCUAUGAAACCAGAAGCAAGAGCAAAUAAAGAGAAUUUUGUUGAACAACUUGAGUUCCCUUUUUCCAGUAUGAAACAAGACAUGAGAAGACUGCAAGCUUUGCUAUCAAAUAAAAAUAUUUACGACAAACAUAAAAGUGAAAUAAGUGAGAAAAUCAAAAUUGAGAUGGGGGACCUUUUAUUCAAUAUUGAAAGAAGCCUCGCCAUUUAUGAUUUUCAUGUGGUGGCUUAUUUACCUAAAGAAGCUGAUACUACAAGUCCACAUGAGAGUUUAAGGUGGAGAAUUGAGGUUGGGCUAACACGUCAAACCAGUGGUUGUACAUUUGAAGUGCCAGAUGAAAUGUUGACAUUGGCUAUUGAUUCUGCUAUUUGCCAAGUCUCAAAAUGCUUCGAAGAUGGAAUAUUGCGAAAGAUUGGGAUUUCAGGGAGCGAAGGGGAGAAAGUAGCAAAAGCACUGAUAGAUAGACCAACGAAUAGAGCCAAGUUUAGUGUUGUCCUCUGCGUUUGUGUCUCACGACAUCAUAGCAGCGAAGAAGUAUGGCAGAACAUCGCAAAACAGAUUCACGGACUUGAAGAAACAGAUGACAAUUUCAAGGAUCCACUAGCUUUUAACCAUAAAUUGCUACCUGAAGAAUUCUUGCUACUUGUGGAUUGUGUUGAUGGGCAAGCAGAUCUACACGAUUUAAGAAUCCCCGAUCACGGAUUCGUAGUGCUUACAACUCCCUCACAAAAUGUUUAUGAGAUAAUGGAAUUGGAUCUGGUGGUCAGAAUGGAGGACCAUCUUUUACCCUGGGAACUAUUCUGUAGAAAUGUGGGCCCAUUAGUUGUUAAUUCUUCUGCUGUUAUCCAAUAAAUGGCCAUCUGUUUGGUGAAAGAGUGCCACUAUCACUUACUUGCCAUCAUUCUUCUUGCAAGGGCCUUGAAAGAUGCCACUGAUGUUGGUGCGUGGAAACUUGCAGUCCAUGAAUUAACAUCACAAUCCUCCUGCGAGCAAGCAGAGGGAAUGAGUGAAGCCAUGGUUCAUGUGUUAAAACUCAUUUGGAUUCAAAAGGACAUUACUACAAAACAUUGCAUUAAAAAUUGUACACAUCAACAGCCAUGGACGACAAAUUCACUAGUACCAGAUUGGAUCCAGAAUGGUUUAAUAGAAACAGAGGCAGAAGGAAAAGUCAUUCUUGAAGAACUUAUUGAUUCUUUCUUGCUAGAGAAUGUUGGCAAGUCUUAUGUCCAAAUGCGGGAUGAAACUAAAUUGUCCUGCAGGAAUAUUUUAUACCUAGUCUUUUACUGAGGCAAGGGGGAUUAGGAUUGACUGAAACACCAAAGGUUGAAGAGUGGGUUAACGCCAUGGAGAUUGAGUUGAUGAAUAAUAAAAUAUCUGAGCUACCAGAGAACCCCAAGUGCUCUCCUCUCCAAAAACUGUUGUUACAUAACAACUAUGACCUGAUGGAAAUUCCUGAAUCAUUCUUUGAAGUUAUGCCUCUCCUAAAAAUUCUAGAUUUGUCCUAUACUAGCAUAAAGUCUUUGCCACCUUCUAUUUCCAGAUUGGUUUCACUUCAAACAUUCUAUUUGAGAGGUUGUGAACUUCUCAGGGAGCUGCCGUCCCAAAUUGGAGCACUUGGGAAUCUUGAGGAGUUUGAUCUCGAAGGAACUCGAAUAAUCUAUCUACCCAAGGAAAUUGGAAAAUUAGUCAAUUUGACAUGCUUUAAGGUGUCUUUUUGUGGACGUGCAAAUCGCUACAGAAAAACUAAGCAGAUAGAAACAACAAUCCGCAUAGGGGUGUUAUCAAAUCUCUGUCGAUUGAAUGAAUUAAGCAUUGAUGUGAAUCCAGAUGGUGAAUGGUGGGAUGUUGAUGUGAAGGCAAUUCUUAAUGAAUUGAGUAGCUCAAAAGAGUUGAGAAUCCUUGAGUUGUAUCUGCCAUCAGUUGAAUUAUUGCAACAAAUUAGAAGAUGGGAUAACACAAAUUUGCAUCAGUUUACAUUCACUGUUGGUCGUCAUCGACAACGCAUCAUAUCCCGUCUACCACAUGAAGUUGAAGAGAUAUCCAAGAAAUGGAAGAAACAUAACAAUUGUCUGGAGUAUAUAAAUGGUGAGGACAUGCCAUUUGAGAUUAUUGGACUGUUAAGAUGCUUUCUGAAUUCAGAAAUGAAAUGCUUAAACUCAAAAUUUGCUUGUUGGUAGAAUGUAAUGAACUGCAAACUAUUAUUGAUGGAAAUUACGAACAUCAGUCGGGUGUUAAUAAGGAACCUAUAUUCAAAUGCCUGGAGUAUUUGGGUAUUCAUUAUAUGAAGAAUUUAGAAAGCAUUUGUAGAAGUUCAAUUGAUGAGGCUUGUUUAACAAAUUUGAUAUCUUUGUCGUUGCAUACCUGCCCCAAUUUGACUACCAUUUUCACACCAUAUUUGCUUCGUAAUCUCAACAACUUGAAAGACCUUAUAGUUGAAGACUGCUGCAAAAUCAAGAGCAUAGUAUGUCAAGAAUUUUCAGACUUGAAAUUUGGUUAUGCUUUCCUAAGAUUGGAGAGGAUGUCACUCCUUAACCUACCUGAAUUGGUUAGUAUUUCAGGCGGUCUAAGUAUUGGUGUAAUGGAAAGUCUGGUUAUUUAUAAUUGUUCAAAGCUCGAAAUUCUUUAUGCCACAGAAGUGUCUAGUAAUAAUUUGAAGAUCAAAGGAGAGAAGGAUUGGUGGGACAAAUUAAAGUGGCAUGAAAGCAAUACUCUUCCAGCUUACGAGUAACUUCAUGAAGAUUCAAUGGAUCAAUUAACUAAAGACAUCUAUUCACACAACUGCGGAUGCUUUUAGAAUAGCAAGGUUAUGACAGUUUCAUUAAGACCCUGUGGUAGAAGGUUGGGACAUUCAAUGUUGUUAAGGAGCUUAAGCAGAGGAACUGUUGCUACUAGUGGCUGCAAAUACCACUAAAUCUUCAAGCAAAACCGAUCAGAUUAAGCUUCAAAUAAAGCUUGUUGGUUAAUGUCUUUCUUGUAUUAAUUUCUGCUUGUUUUCAAGUCUUUGAAUACAUGGGAUGUGAUGCUUUAUUUUCUUUAUCUGUUUUAAUGUCUUGUUUGGGUGCAACGGUGACAAUAGUUGUUGCAAGUGUUAUUUUCUGAUGUACUUGUUAUUGUUGUUUGCUUGAAAUCUAUCAAUUGUUUUGUUUAAUGUAUUUUGGUGACUGACACGUCUGUAUAUAUCCGAGGUUUUAGUGUUCCUUGAAGGGCACUGCCAUAUACUUUGCCGACUUCUAUUUUUCAACAAUUGUACUGAAAUUUUAUAACUCAUCCAUUGAUAUGGAAGUGAAAUUGACUGUACAAGUUA